AUGCAAGUCGAACGGAAAGGCCCUUCGGGGUACUCGAGUGGCGAACGGGUGAGUAACACGUGGGUGAUCUGCCCUGCACUUUGGGAUAAGCCUGGGAAACUGGGUCUAAUACCGAAUAUGACCACGCGCUUCAUGGUGUGUGGUGGAAAGCUUUUGCGGUGUGGGAUGGGCCCGCGGCCUAUCAGCUUGUUGGUGGGGUAAUGGCCUACCAAGGCGACGACGGGUAGCCGGCCUGAGAGGGUGACCGGCCACACUGGGAAUGAGAUACGGCCCAGACUCCUACGGGAGGCAGCAGUGGGGAAUAUUGCACAAUGGGCGCAAGCCUGAUGCAGCGACGCCGCGUGAGGGAUGACGGCCUUCGGGUUGUAAACCUCUUUCAAUAGGGACGAAGCGCAAGUGACGGUACCUAUAGAAGAAGGACCGGCCAACUACGUGCCAGCAGCCGCGGUAAUACGUAGGGUCCGAGCGUUGUCCGGAAUUACUGGGCGUAAAGAGCUCGUAGGUGGUUUGUCGCGUUGUUCGUGAAAACUCACAGCUUAACUGUGGGCGUGCGGGCGAUACGGGCAGACUAGAGUACUGCAGGGGAGACUGGAAUUCCUGGUGUAGCGGUGGAAUGCGCAGAUAUCAGGAGGAACACCGGUGGCGAAGGCGGGUCUCUGGGCAGUAACUGACGCUGAGGAGCGAAAGCGUGGGGAGCGAACAGGAUUAGAUACCCUGGUAGUCCACGCCGUAAACGGUGGGUACUAGGUGUGGGUUUCCUUCCUUGGGAUCCGUGCCGUAGCUAACGCAUUAAGUACCCCGCCUGGGGAGUACGGCCGCAAGGCUAAAACUCAAAGGAAUUGACGGGGGCCCGCACAAGCGGCGGAGCAUGUGGAUUAAUUCGAUGCAACGCGAAGAACCUUACCUGGGUUGACAUG
rnacentral:rRNA from 1 species